rnacentral:rRNA from 1 species
CCUACGGGAGGCAGCAGUGGGGAAUAUUGGACAAUGGGCGAAAGCCUGAUCCAGCAAUGCCGCGUGAGUGAUGAAGGCCUUCGGGUCGUAAAGCUCUUUUACCAGGGAUGAUAAUGACAGUACCUGGAGAAUAAGCUCCGGCUAACUCCGUGCCAGCAGCCGCGGUAAUACGGAGGGAGCUAGCGUUGUUCGGAAUUACUGGGCGUAAAGAGUACGUAGGCGGUUAUUCAAGUCAGAGGUGAAAGCCCGGGGCUCAACCCCGGAACUGCCUUUGAAACUAGAUAACUAGAGUCUUGGAGAGGUUAGUGGAAUUCCGAGUGUAGAGGUGAAAUUCGUAGAUAUUCGGAAGAACACCAGUGGCGAAGGCGACUAACUGGACAAGUACUGACGCUGAGGUACGAAAGCGUGGGGAGCAAACAGGAUUAGAUACCCUGGUAGUCCACGCCGUAAACGAUGAUAACUAGUUGUUCGGUCACUUGGUGACUGAGUGACGCAGCUAACGCAUUAAGUUACCCGCCUGGGGAGUACGGUCGCAAGAUUAAAACUCAAAGGAAUUGACGGCUGAGAAGUGCGAGACGACGACGAGGGAGAGG